CCUACGGGAGGCAGCAGUGGGGAAUAUUGCACAAUGGGGGAAACCCUGAUGCAGCGACGCCGCGUGAGUGAAGAAGGCUUUCUGUAUGUAAAGCUCUAUCAGCAGGGGAGAAAAUGACGGUACCUGAUUCAGAAGCCCCGGCUCACGACGUGCCAGCAGCGGCGGUCAUACGGAGGGGGCAAGCGUUAUCCGGAUUUACUGGGUGGAAAGGGGGCGUAUACGGCAGCAGAAGUCUGGAGGGAAAUGCCGGGGCUUAACCCCGGAACUGCUUUGGAAACUGUGGAGCUAGAGUGCAGGAGAGGUAAGUGGAAUUCCUAGUGUAGCGGUGAAAUGCGUAGAUAUUAGGAGGAACACCAGUGGCGAAGGCGGCUUACUGGACUGUAACUGACGUUGAGGCUCGAAAGCGUGGGGAGCAAACAGGAUUAGAUACCCUAGUAGUC
rnacentral:rRNA from 1 species